CUUCCCGCCACUAACUUUCCGCCACUAACUUCCCGCCACUAACUUCCCGCCACUAAGUUCCCGCCACUAACUUUCCGCCACUAACUUCCCGCCACUAACUUCCCGCCACUAAUAUAACAUUUCUUUUUCUAUUUUAAAUUCAUUGAAGAAGUUCUUCAGUUGCCAGAGGAAAAUAAAGAUGAUACAAAAACUGCAAACUAUCCACUUCACCUUUUAGUGACUGGUGUGAUUGAACCAUCUGUGAUAUACGAGUAAGUAUACUAACGAUCGCUAUUUUUAUCAAAAUGCUGGCAGGGACGUCGCUAUAGGGGGUGUGGGGGUGUAACACCCCCCCCCCCCCCCCNNNNNNNNNNNNNNNNNNNNGUCAAAGUUGGUCAAAAUGGAACUGAUAUUUGCUUAAAAUUGAAGGUAAAACUCGGUAUAAAAGAUGGUCGAAGUUGCUCAAAGUUAUGAAAUGGUUCACAAUUUUAACAAUUUUAAAGCUAUUGUUAUGUUUGCGGUGAAAAAAAUGGAAGCCUUGCUCAUCUUGGUCGAAAAAUUUUGAAUGUGCUUAUGUUAGUCCGGAAAUAGUUUUUAGAUUAUGCUUAUGUUAGUCCGGAAAAUUUUUUUGACCUCCACCCACCUCCCCCCCCCCCUGUCUGUUGCUCGGUGAAAAUGGAGAUGAAUACGCGCUUUAAUUGACUAGAAGAAGUUGUAAAUAAUUCUGAGAGAAAGGAGGAUAGGAUGAUAUCAAAAAGAGAAGCAAAUAAAGAAAUAUGAAUCUUUGCUUGAUGAGAAAAGAAAAAUUGAAGGAAAAAGGAAUGAAGAAUCGAUCGACCAAGAACGAAUGAAAAAAGAAAAGAUUUUAAUCUUAAAAGAAAGAAGUAGUAGAUCUUGGAUUUGACAAAAACUGGAUUUGAUCUAACUAAUAAUUGACUAACUACAUUAAGUUAUUGUUUUUUAAAUUUUAGAGAUAUUCUAAAUAAUGGCUUGUCAAAACUUUCCAUCCUUCCCGAUUCUGACAAGUAUGAUUGUGUUGUUUGUUCACAUGUCAGUGAUGUAGACUGGGACGGCACGAAUGAAAUAUUGUUAGGAACUUAUGGACAGGUACUCUCAAUAACCCUAUUCAUUAUAUUUUGUUUAUAAUUCAAAGUCAGGACAUUUAAUUUAGUCAAAGUGGAAGCACUGUCUGAAACGUUCAUUGUACGUUGCAAUGGCUCAUUUGCAUUAUAGAC
rnacentral:lncRNA from 1 species